UUAAGUUCAGCGGGUAGUCCUACCUGAUUUGAGGUCAGAUUUCAAAAAGCUUGAUUGACCGCCCCCACUGGGAGGCAGGUCGAGGCAAGGCGCGGAAGGGGUCCGUCUCGUUCGAGCGAGGAUGGUACAACGCCCAGUCGAGUUCGACCCACAGGCCCAACCGAAGCAUUUGAGGGGAGCCGGCUCUCAUCGAGCGGCAG
rnacentral:misc_RNA from 1 species